rnacentral:tRNA from 1 species
UAGCUCAGUUGGUAGAGCAUGGUGUUUGCAACGCCAGGAUUGUGGGUUCAAUUCCCAC